rnacentral:rRNA from 1 species
UACGGAGGAUCCGAGCGUUAUCCGGAUUUAUUGGGUUUAAAGGGUGCGCAGGCGGGAGAUUAAGUCGGCGGUGAAAUUUUGCAGCUUAACUGUAAAAGUGCCUUCGAAACUGGUUUCCUUGAGUGUAGAUGAAGUAGGCGGAAUUUGUGGUGUAGCGGUGAAAUGCAUAGAUAUCACGAGGAACUCCGAUUGCGCAGGCAGCUUACUAAACUACUACUGACGCUCAGGCACGAAGGCGUGGGGAUCAAACAGGAUUAGAUACCCUGGUAGU